rnacentral:tRNA from 1 species
GCCUUGCUAGCUCAGUCGGUAGAGCAUGAGACUCCUAAUCUCAGGCUCGUGGGUUCGAGACCCACGUUGGGUG